GUGCCAGCCGCCGCGGUAAUACGGAGGGUGCAAGCGUUAAUCGGAAUUACUGGGCGUAAAGGGCGCGCAGGCGGUCUUUUAAGUCUGAUGUGAAAUCCCGCGGCUUAACCGCGGGCGGUCAUUGGAAACUGGAGGACUUGAGUGCAGAAGAGGAGAGUGGAAUUCCACGUGUAGCGGUGAAAUGCGUAGAGAUGUGGAGGAACACCAGUGGCGAAGGCGACUCUCUGGUCUGCUACUGACGCUGAGGUGCGAAAGCGUGGGUAGCAAACAGGAUUAGAAACCCGCGUAGUCC
rnacentral:rRNA from 1 species